rnacentral:rRNA from 1 species
GAUGAACGCUGGCGGCGUGCCUAAUACAUGCAAGUCGAGCGAACGGACGAGAAGCUUGCUUCUCUGAUGUUAGCGGCGGACGGGUGAGUAACACGUGGAUAACCUACCUAUAAGACUGGGAUAACUUCGGGAAACCGGAGCUAAUACCGGACAAUAUUUUGAACCGCAUGGUUCAAAAGUGAAAGACGGUCUUGCUGUCACUUAUAGAUUGAUCCGCGCUGCAUUAGCUAGUUGGUAAGGUAACGGCUUACCAAGGCAACGAUGCAUAGCCGACCUGAGAGGGUGAUCGGCCACACUGGAACUGAGACACGGUCCCGACUCCUACGAGAGGCAGCGGUAGGGAAUCUUCCGCAAUGGGCGAAAGCGUGGCGUAGCAACGCCGCGUGAGUGAUGAAGGUCUUCGGAUCGUAAAACUCUGUUAUUAGGGAAGAACAUAUGUGUAAGUAACUGUGCACAUCUUGACGGUACCUAAUCAGAAAGCCGAGGCUAACUACGUG